GAUGAAGAACGUAGUGAAAUGCGAUAAGUAAUGUGAAUUGCAGAAUUCAGUGAAUCAUCGAAUCUUUGAACGCACAUUGCGCCCGCCAGUAUUCUGGCGGGCAUGCCUGUCUGAGCGUCAUUUCAACCCUCAUGCCCCUAGGGCGUGGUGUUGGGGAUCGGCCAAAGCCCGCGAGGGACGGCCGGCCCCUAAAUCUAGUGGCGGACCCGUCGUGGCCUCCUCUGCGAAGUAGUGAUAUUCCGCAUCGGAGAGCGAUGAGCCCCUGCCGUUAAACCCCCAACUUUCCAAGGUUGACCUCAGAUCAGGUAGGAAUACCCGCUGAACUUAAGCAUAUCAAUAAGCGCAGGA
rnacentral:misc_RNA from 1 species